rnacentral:lncRNA from 1 species
CAAAGAAAUGGAAACUAAAGGGACAUCCCUCAAUUUGGGAAUGGCUGAACAAAUUGUGGCAGAUGAUGGUGACAGAAUACUAUUGUGCUCUGACAUAAACAGGAGGAUGAUCUCACAAAGAGUUGGAAAGACCUACAUUAAUUGAUGCACUGAAAUGAACAGAACCAGGAAAACAUUAUAAACAGUAACAGCAAUAGUGUGGAAUGAUCAAAUUUGAUAGACUUAGCUGCUCUCAGUGAUACAAUGAUUCAGACAGCAUUUUAGAUAGGUAGCCACAAACACAGAAAAGAUGUAGGAUGACAGGGGAUGGAAGAAAUAAGUCAGGGGGUUUUGAGGAUAAGCCUGAAAUAUGUUUCUUUGCAGGCAGUAGGGAAGGAGUCAGCAGACAGAGACUGAGAAUAAGUCAGAGUGUGGGGACAGAUUCCAGUUCCAUUGCCAUGUGGACCAUUUCAACUAUUUCAGGUCCUGAGCUCUGUGGCUCUCAGGCUCAUGAUAAAGUAGAGAACAAGGAAUACAAGAUGAAAGCAUGUGAUAGCUCUAUUGUGAAUUGACUGUAUGUUCAUCAAAUGAGAGAACAAAUGGAGCACUUUCAAAAUCAGAAGAAGCAAAGCAAUAAAGAAGUACUGAAUUUUCUGGUGAUAAACUAAGAAGAAGAAGCAAAUAUGAAAAUUACUCUUGUGCAAGGAGCUUGAUAUCUUUUAAACUUCUCUGAAAAAAUGAUGCAAAGAAAAGUCCAACAAUUAGAUUUAUUUUCUUGUCAAAUAGACAAAGAUAUCACAAUUAAAAAAGAACAAGUAGAUGAAUUAGUAGAAGAGGAGAUCAGCAGUGGCAAACCUGCAAUGGGAAAAGCUCCAAUGCAGUUUUCCUGGUUUUGCAAUGUCCAAGGAUACAAUUGGCGGAGCUUCUUUUAUUUUAAAAAACAUGAUGAACAAGUAAAGAAUGUGCACAAGCAGGAAGAAACUGACCAAAAGGUAAAUUUUCUUUAUGUGAAAUUUGUCAUAAAGAUUUAUGUGCAUUUCUCCAUUUUAAUUACUAGGUAAUAAGCUUGUAAAAUAAUCUCUAAGACCCUUUGGCAGUUUUCACUAUCAAUGGUUAUAUUAACAUAGGCCAAUCUAAGCUUUUAAAUAUUGUCUCUCUUGAUCUCUAGCUAUUUGAUGACGCCUCUGCUUCUUUUAUACCCCAAAGCUGCUGGUGUCUGACUAGAUAGAAACUAAAGUUGGCCAUUGAUUAAAGAGUAUUGGAAUGAAAAAAUAUAUCCUGAAAUUUGAUUAUAAAAAAGUAAGCGGUGAAGAACUUCUUGAAUUAGACAAUGACGCAUUAAAAGUAAGCUUCAGAAUUGGCUUUUUAUAUAUGGUAUAUAACCUUUUUUAUGGUGGACAUUGGAUGAAAAACAGUACAAAUAAUGGGAUUCCUAUAUAUGGCCCAUUUGACAACCUUAUGGUUUUAAGGAAAACAUGUUAACUACCUUUUUGAAUGUAGUUUCAAGAAAUGUUUUUUAAUGUGAUUUGCUCCCCCUUUUUUUAGUAUUCCUGCCAUAUGGUCAUUCCUUUUUAUUUCUAUUUAUUUAUUGAAACCUUAUAUCUUCCAUUUUAGAAUAUAUAACAUGUAUGUUUCCGAGGAAAAAAAGUUUUAAGAGGUGGGCAAUGUGAGGCAAGUGACUGUCUCAGCAUCAUACUUCUAGGGGGUCACAUUUGAAAUCAGGACCUCUUUUCACUAGGUCUGGUUCUCAAUCUAUUGAGCCACCAUUCUUUUUUUUCUUUUUUUAGAAUUCUAUCUAUUAACAAACACUGGAAAACAGAAAAGCCAUAUUUUAAUUUUUGACCAGGCAGAUUAACUUCAUUGAAACAGAUUAAAAAACAGUAAUCAUGGGAAAUGGCAAGCUUUCAUUUCAUUUAUAGUAAAUGAAAUAUCAAUAUUUUAACUUAUCUCUGAAAGUACCAAAUAAAUUAUUUCAAAAAGAUCA